AUACAAAGCUUGAAACAAUGGACCCUUGAAGUAUUUCUUAACCACAAUAGAUAAAAUAUGUUUGUACUUGAAUGGUUAUUUCCUAUCACUGCACUGAUUUACUUUAUAUAUAAAACGACGCAACAAAUACAUUUCUUCCAUUGAUAUUACACGUUUUCAGAAUAACGCUGGUAAAAAUACGAAUCUUUCUUCAGUGCCAUGAGGAAGUUUUAUAUUUGCUGCUUGCUACUCAGCAUAUUUUUUAUCAUGGUGCCUUCAACGUUUGCUUUUCCUGAUGUGGCUAUUCAGGAUUCAGAAAGGAAUUGCGAAUGCAUUUUUCGACAUGCAUGCCAAGGAGAGAUCAAUUCUGACAUCUACUGUCCUGGGAGUUAUAUUUUCGCAUGCUGCAUUCAAUGAUGGAGUACAAAAGAAGAAAAUAAAAAAGAGAAUCGAUGACAAUGCUUUUAUUGCUAUGAUGAAAUAAUCUCCUAUUUCAUUUUCUGAAUAAUAUUGAUUGCUUGAGUAGGUAUAAACGACUCCUUAUUUUUGAAAGCUUUUAUUAAACUCAUGCAUGUUUGUAUAUUUGUAUUGAUGUAUGUUAGUUUGAGUCAAAUAUUAAAACUGAAUGUUGAUCAAUUUCUAA